rnacentral:rRNA from 1 species
GACGAACGCUGGCGGCGUGCCUAAUACAUGCAAGUCGAGCGGACCAAAGGGAGCUUGCUCCUGGAGGUUAGCGGCGAACGGGUGAGUAACACGUGGGCAACCUGCCUGUAAGACUGGGAUAACAUCGAGAAAUCGGUGCUAAUACCGGAUAAUAAAAAGAACUGCAUGGUUCUUUUUGAAAGAUGGUUUCGGCUAUCACUUACAGAUGGGCCGCGGCGCAUUAGCUAGUUGGUGAGGUAACGGCUCACCAAGGCGACGAUGCGUAGCCGACCUGAGAGGGUGAUCGGCCACACUGGGACUGAGACACGGCCCAGACUCCUACGGGAGGCAGCAGUAGGGAAUCUUCCGCAAUGGACGAAAGUCUGACGGAGCAACGCCGCGUGAGUGAUGAAGGUUUUCGGAUCGUAAAACUCUGUUGUUAGGGAAGAACAAGUG